rnacentral:rRNA from 1 species
AUAACAGUGAGAAAUCAUUGCUAAUACCGCAUAAGCUAGUAGCAUCGCAUGAUGCAGCUAGAAAAGGAGCAAUCCGCUGAUAGAUGGGCUUGCGUCUGAUUAGCUAGUUGGUGGGGCAACGGCCUACCAAGGCGACGAUCAGUAGCCGGACUGAGAGGUUGAACGGCCACAUUGGGACUGAGAUACGGCCCAGACUCCUACGGGAGGCAGCAGUCGGGAAUAUUGCGCAAUGGAGGAAACUCUGACGCAGUGACGCCGCGUAUAGGAAGAAGGUUUUCGGAUUGUAAACUAUUGUCGUGAGGGAAGAAAUUGACAGUACCUCAGGAGGAAGCUCCGGCUAACUAUGUGCCAGCAGCCGCGGUAAUACAUAGGGAGCAAGCGUUAUCCGGAUUUAUUGGGUGUAAAGGGUGCGUAGACGGGAAAUUAAGUUAGUUGUGAAAUCCCUUGGCUUAACUGAGGAACUGCAACUAAAACUGGUUUUCUUGAGUACUGGAGAGGAAAGUGGAAUUCCUAGUGUAGCGGUGAAAUGCGUAGAUAUUAGGAGGAACACCAGUGGCGAAGGCGACUUUCUGGACAGUAACUGACGUUGAGGCACGAAAGUGUGGGGAGCAAACAGGAUUAGAUACCCUGGUAGUCCACACUGUAAAC